rnacentral:rRNA from 1 species
GGAUUGGGUGUGCAGGGAAGCGGUUCCAGGAAAUAGCUCCACCGUAUAGACCGUACCCGAAACCGACACAGGUGGUCAGGUAGAGAAUACCAAGGCGCUUGAGAGAACUCUGCUGAAGGAACUCGGCAAAUUGCACGCGUAACUUCGGAAGAAGCGUGACCCCAUGGCACGCAAGUGUUGUGGGGUGGCACAGACCAGGGGGUAGCGACUGUUUAUCAAAAACACAGGGCUCUGCGAAGUCGCAAGACGACGUAUAGGG